UGGCGGCGUGCCUAACACAUGCAAGUCGAACGAGAAAUCUUCGCUUCGGCGGAGAAAGUAAAGUGGCGAACGGGUGAGUAACGCGUGGGUAACCUGCCCCUGAAUUCGGAAUAACCCGCCGAAAGGCGGACUAAUUCCGGAUACAGUCCUCUGAACUCUGGUUUUGGGGAUCAAAGGUGACCUCUUCAUGAAAGUUGCCGUUUAGGGAGGGGCCCGCGUACCAUUAGCUUGUUGGUAGGGUAAUGGCCUACCAAGGCGACGAUGGUUAGCUGGUCUGAGAGGAUGAUCAGCCACACUGGAACUGAAACACGGUCCAGACUCCUAUGGGAGGCAGCAGUGAGGAAUCUUGCGCAAUGGGGGAAACCUUGACGCAGCAACGCCGCGUGAGCGAAGAAGGCCCUCGGGUCGUAAAGCUCUGUCAAGUGGGAAAAACGUCUUCCCGUUAACAGCGGGAGGGCCUGAUGGUACCAUUAGAGGAAGCACCGGCUAACUCCGUGCCAGCAGCCGCGGUAAUACGGAGGGUGCAAGCGUUGUUCGGAAUUACUGGGCGUAAAGGGCGUGCAGGCGGUUUGGCAAGUCAGAUGUGAAAGCCCUGGGCUCAACCCAGGAAGUGCGUCUGAAACUGCCAAACUCGAGUAUGGGAGAGGAGAGUGGAAUUCCCAGUGUAGAGGUGAAAUUCGUAGAUAUUGGGAGGAACACCCGUGGCGAAGGCGGCUCUCUGGACCAAUACUGACGCUGAGACGCGAAAGCGUGGGGAGCAAACAGGAUUAGAUACCCUGGUAGUCCACGCCGUAAACGAUGAGAACUAGGUGUAGCGGGUAUUGACCCCUGAUGUGCCGAAGUUACGCAUUAAUUCUCCGCCUGGGGAGUACGGCCGCAAGGCUAAACUCAAAAGGAAUUGACGGGGGCCCGCACAAGCGGUGGAGCAUGUGGUUUAAUUCGACGCAACGCGAAGAACCUUACCUGGGUUUGACAUCCUUUGACCGCCUUGGAAACAAGGUUUUCCCGACUCUGUCGGGACAAAGUGACAGGUGCUGCAUGGCUGUCGUCAGCUCGUGUCGUGAGAUGUUGGGUUAAGUCCCGCAACGAGCGCAACCCUUGUCUUUAGUUGCCAGUAUUCGGUUAGGAACUCUAAAGAGACUGCCUCGGUUAACGGGGAGGAAGGUGGGGAUGACGUCAAGUCCUCAUGGCCUUUAUACCCAGGGCUACACACGUGCUACAAUGGGCUGUACAAAGGGUUGCUAUCCCGCGAGGGGGCGCUAAUCCCAAAAAGCAGCUCUCAGUUCGGAUUGAAGUCUGCAACUCGACUUCAUGAAGGUGGAAUCGCUAGUAAUCGUGGAUCAGCAUGCCA
rnacentral:rRNA from 1 species